rnacentral:misc_RNA from 1 species
UGAGUACACACACAAGCCUGAGCAUGCACCGUCACAUCCAUAGUAACAACGAACAUUGAUCCUUUUUUUAUUCUGUUGUUUUGGUUUUCUCCAAACAAGGUCUACAAUGUGUUUUAAGUCCAUGAAGCUUAGGCCUUUGUGCAAAUGAUUGUUGACUGUAAAUUUCACUAAUGCACUGAUUUUCAAUUGAGAAUUAGUGGAUGUUCAGACUAGGGAAGAUGGUCUGGAGAAAAUAUUGUCCACAGAUUAAGACUUGCACUGUAUUUGAUCAUUGAUUCUCAAAUAUAG